GAUGAACGCUGGCGGCGUGCCUAAUACAUGCAAGUAGAACGCUGAAGGAGGAGCUUGCUCUUCUGGAUGAGUUGCGAACGGGUGAGUAACGCGUAGGUAACCUGCCUGGUAGCGGGGGAUAACUAUUGGAAACGAUAGCUAAUACCGCAUGACAACAGUUAUUGCAUGAUAACUGUUUAAAAGGGGCAACUGCUCCACUACCAGAUGGACCUGCGUUGUAUUAGCUAGUUGGUGAGGUAACGGCUCACCAAGGCGACGAUACAUAGCCGACCUGAGAGGGUGAUCGGCCACACUGGGACUGAGACACGGCCCAGACUCCUACGGGAGGCAGCAGUAGGGAAUCUUCGGCAAUGGACGGAAGUCUGACCGAGCAACGCCGCGUGAGUGAAGAAGGUUUUCGGGUCGUAAAGCUCUGUUGUAAGAGAAGAACGAGUGUGAGAGUGGAAAGUUCACACUGUGACGGCAUCUUACCAGAAAGGGACGGCUAACUACGUG
rnacentral:rRNA from 1 species